rnacentral:misc_RNA from 1 species
GAUGAAGAACGCAGCGAAAUGCGAUAAGUAAUGUGAAUUGCAGAAUUCAGUGAAUCAUCGAAUCUUUGAACGCACAUUGCGCCCGCCAGUAUUCUGGCGGGCAUGCCUGUUCGAGCGUCAUUUCAACCAUCAAGCCCCCGGCUUGUGUUGGGGACCUGCGGCUGCCGCAGGCCCUGAAAACCAGUGGCGGGCUCGCUAGUCACUCCGAGCGUAGUAGUUACAUCUCGCUCAGGGCGUGCUGCGGGUUCCGGCCGUUAAAAGCCUUAUUUACCCAAGGUUGACCUCGGAUCAGGUAGGAAGACCCGCUGAACUUAAGCAUAUCAAUAAGCGGAGA